GACGGAGGGCGCAAGCGUUGUUCGGAAUCACUGGGCGUAAAGCGCGCGCAGGCGGGUGUGUAAGUCGGAAGUGAAAUUCCGGGGCUCAACCCCGGAGCUGCUCCCGAUACUGCGGGGCUAGAGUGCAGAAGGGGCGACUGGAAUUCUCGGUGUAGCGGUGAAAUGCGUAGAUAUCGAGAGGAACACCUGCGGCGAAGGCGGGUUGCUGGGCUGACACUGACGCUGAGGCGCGAAAGCUAGGGGAGCGAACGGG
rnacentral:rRNA from 1 species